rnacentral:lncRNA from 11 species
GCGCCUGUCACGCGCUGAUUUAAUUGCACUCUCGCGGACACUCUCUUUACUUCCUCCCCCACCAGUCUUGUGGUGCAUCUUUUCCGUUUCUCCGCUUGGAACCGAUCGCGCCACCGUUCCCGCAACUAGCCUUCUUGUUUUGGUCGAAUCUAAUGAGUUUGUUUAUCGCAUUGACGAACUCACGAUUAACCAGUGAAUGGAUGAAAAUGACAGAAAGAAAACAUCAAUUUAAUCGAACAGGAUAUCCGCGGAUGCAGGAGGCAGCCGGCUGGGAGGAUGACGGCGAGCGCGCAAGAGCGAGAAGUCGGUAACUUAACUGGCCUAAAUGGGUUUAACUCGAUGUGAUUUUGCUGGCGAACCACUAAAUUGAACGAAUACGAACUAAACUGAACUCAACUAAGCUAAUCAUAUCACAUUACUAGCGUUAUUAGCCGAGAGACGAUAUAAGUGAAGGUCCGGUGGUACCAGGCUGCAGUAACGGGUCGCCUCCUGCACUGACCCUCUGUACGACUUUCUUUUCGACCUCUUUUUCUCGAUCAUAAUGUUCGUGUCUUGUAUUUAUUCGAUCUUUGAAUUACGGAAAUGUGUUUACGGUCAAGUUUUAUCGCAAUUCGAUUCCAAAACAACUUUUAGGUUAGUUCUUAUGAAAGUUGGAUGCAAGUUGAAGUUUCUUGAACGAAAUGGACAAUUCUUGAUGCACACGAGGUCUGGGAAACGAUGUUGGCCGAUCCUGGCCGAACAGAAACGCUAUCAUGGUCGUGAAACAGGAAACACGUGCUCUGAGUGAAAGUGACAGAUCACCGCGCGCCAAAUUCGAAAUAAAGAUCAAAGAAUCAUAUACGAUUUUCGAUUUAUAGUGUCAUUCGUGGAUAAUAAAAUGUAACAUUUUAAAAAAAAUGUGCGAUGGAAAGAAUUUUUUCUUAUUGAGAAUUUUAUAUAGUGAAAUAUAUAUGUGAAUAAGUGAUAUAGUUUCUUCAAAAGGAAUUUGAUUUGUUUUUUUGAUCUGGAUACGGCCACGUGGGUUCAAUGUAUGCAACAGGUGCAUUUGACCCGCGUGAGACACCUGUGGAAUAGAUAUAUAUAUAUAUAUAUGUAUAGAUUAAAAGAGAAGUGAAAAAUUGGAAGAAAAGAGAAAAAUGGAAUGAUUGGAUUGAUUAUUUAAUACAAUAAUGAAUAAGAGAUUUAAGCUUAUUUAAUUACGGUUAUUAAAAAAAAUUAUAAAGCAAAAAAUUAGUCAAGGGAAUAGAAUUAAUGGCGUUGAGUGAUAUGUAAAGAAUGUAGAAUUAUGUAUAAUUAAAUUAAGUGGUUGAAGAGGGUAAGAUUUGAAGAAUUGAAGGGUGAAGAACGAGCUAAAUUAGAUUAUUAAUAAAUGGGAUGAAGAUAUUAUAAAGGGUCGAAUUUGAAAGUUAAGGGGAAUGAAAUAUAUACUGUAUGAAAUUGAUUGGAUUAUUAAUUAUAAGAUUUAAAAAGAUUCGGAAAUCGUGAUUCAAAGGAGAAAAUGUAACAUCGCAGCCCGAUGACGUCGCAUCCUUAUUAACCCGACGUGGUCACAUCCGUCGUCAUCCCGUUCUGUAUUCACGUGCAGGGUGUUUCUCGUAAUGAUAUCUUCAUUUAUGUAUUGAAACUAUCCUAUAAAAUUCUAUCAAAUUAUGUAUUUCAUGUAUUAAAAUUUUCUAAUAUAAUGGUACAUAUGA